rnacentral:lncRNA from 1 species
CAGACGCGCGUUUCGUCUACAUAAGACUCAUCAGUGACGCUCAUAUCAAAAUAGUUAUAAACCAAACAAAUAUAAAGUUGAAGAGCAUUGAGGAUCCAAAAUUCCAAAAAGUUGUGCCAAAUACGGCUAAGGUAAUCUAUGCCUGGGAUAAGAAAAUCCUUAGUUUUUCGAAAAAUUCAAAGUUUUGUACACAGGAAAUUUAUAAAAAUGACC